UGGCCUUGAUUCCCUCUUUCACGCCCCCAGUGGCAGAAGGCUGGGGAAGAUAGGAGCUGUGGUUCAACAACAUCCAGGGACUCAAGGUCUCAAGAGAUUCAUAAUGGUCCCCGCAUCUCUUUUCCAAGCAUUCUGCUGAGGCUCAGAGUCUCGUCUCCCUCUCGUCUCCCCUACAAUGGAGAGGCCCAUCACAGCCGUUUUCUUGGCCCCUUACCGUGCAGGGAGGACCGGGCGAGGGCUGCGAUCUCUUGGAUGGUGAGCGCUCGCCGCGACUUGGGUAACAUUUCGACAGUGUCUUCAACAUUUACCUUGAAGAGAAAAAGGGAAACAGAGGUGAGAAAAGUGUCCAGGCAGAAGACCCAUCCUGCACUAGAGCAAACCGCUGUUAAGGCCAGGAAAAAAAGAGAUCGGCAACCCAAAAUAGAGAUUGACAACCCUACCAGAAAUCCCUGGAAUGACAGAACUGGACUCUAUGACCCUGGAGGUCCUUUUUUUGCCUUCCAUUUAUUUCUGUGAGCCGAAGGUUCCAUUUUUAUGAAUGAUUUGCGAGAACGGGCAAACAACACAUGAACUGCAGCAGGCUGUAACUGACACUCGCAUGGAAGGUGUUGCGAAAGCUGAAUGGCUGAGAAUUAACACAUGGUGAGAGACGAGGCGCGGCAGAGGGGAGGAAAAGUCAGUGGACUAAAAGUUCUCUUGUGGACAUAAAGAGCUGCCUGGCAGGUCACAAAGAUCCCUCUAGCCCAGCAUUCUGUUUCCAGCAGAGGCCAGUCAGAUGUCUCUUGAAACCCCACAAGCAGGGAAUGAAGGGAAACAGCCCUGUCUUGUUCCACAGCAACUGAUACAAGGAUGGGGCUGCAGCUCAGUGAUAGAGCCUCUGCAGAAGGUCCCAGGUUCAAUUUCUGGCAUCUACAGGAACAUAGGAAGCUGCCGUAUACUGAGUCAGACCAUAGGUCCAUCUAGCUCAGUAUUGUCUUCACUGACUGGCAGCGGCUUCUCCAAGGUUCCAGGCAGGAGUCGUUCUCAGCACAGGACGGAACGGGUGCCCUCAUACUAGGGAAUUGGAACGUUCCCCUUCUCGUAAUCAGAUGUGGUGGAGUUAGGCACAAGAGAGCAAGGCCGCAUGAUGACAGCACACCUGAUGCUAACUUGGAGGAAAUGAAUGACACAGAUGAUACACCAGAAGAGGCCUACUUCAGAAAGUGUGUAUUUUACGUUUUGGUAGACAAUGUUAUAGCAGGAUUAACUGUCCGUUUCAAUGCUGUUAAGCAGUUGGCAGAAAAAUUUGAUUUCUUGUGGAAAUAUCUCACCAUGUCUGAAAGUGAUGUGAAGAGAAAAGCUUUAUCUUUAUCAGAGCAAUAUCCUGCUGAAUUUAACGGUGAUGAUUUUGGAAAAGAAAUGCAACAUUUACCCUCAGUACAUAAAGCAAAUGUUGUAAAUGCACAGUUAAAGCCAUUAGAUCUGUUGAACUUGUUAACAGAGUUCAGACUUGGUGGCCUGUUUCCAAAUAUUUGUGUUAGGUUAAGAAUACUAUUAACAAUUCCAGCAACAGUAGCUUCUGCAGGGAGGGUCAUUUAGCAAACUCAAGUUGAUUAAGAAUUAUUUAAGGUCUACAAUGUCUCAGGAAUGUCUUGUGGAUUUGGCCAGGCUAAGUAUUGAAUCAAACAUUGCCAGAACAAUUA